UCCCACUAACUGGCUUUUGCUACAUGAAAACUGAAGAGCAGGCCACAUCCUCUGCUCAACCAAAUAAAACUUGCUGAAACAAGGGCCCAACUUUGCUGAGAAGGGGAUGAUUUCUUAUGAAGUAGCCAUUCUGCAGGACAACAAAAAGAUGGAGGGACAUUUAACAGAAUCUGAGGGAAAUACCUGAAAAUACAUUAGGCAUCUGCAGGACAUCACUUAUUUC
rnacentral:lncRNA from 1 species